AAACGACUGUAAAAAAUAAAACAUUUUGACAUUCCAGUAUAGGCGAUAGAAAAAUUACUAAGCGCUUUAGGCAAAGUACCGCAAGGAAAUAUGAAAUAGAAAUGAAAUAAUAUUAUAGCCCCAAAUAGCAGAGACAGCCCCUCGUACCUUUCGCAUCAUGGUCUAGCCAGUCCACCGAGCAAAACGAAAAUUUCAGUUCGACCCCCCGAAACUAAGCGAGCUACUUCAAAACAGCCCAAAGAGCCAACCCCUCUCUGUUGCAAAAGAGUGGGAAGAUUUUCAAGUAGAGGUGACAAGCCUACCGAGCUUAGAGAUAGCUGGUUGUUCAGGAAAAGAGUUUCAGCUCUGCCUUAAGUUUUAUUAUUAUACUAAACAAAUUUAUAAGCUUAAGAGUUAUUCAAAUUAGGCACAGCUUAUUUGAGAUAGGAUACAACCUAGCCCAUUGGGUAACACGGGCAAUAAAAAUAAAGUAGGCCCAAGAGCAGCCACCUUCAAAAAAGCGUCAAAGCUUAACUACCUCAGCCCCCAAUUACUAAGAUUUCAACUAACCCCUCAUUCCUACUGAACCGCUUUAUAUUACUAUAAAAAUGAUUAUGCUAGAACAUGUAACAAGAACUCGCCAUUCUCCUCAAUGUAAACAUAAACCAAAAACGGACACUCCAUUGGUAAUUAACGUAAAUGCAAAACCGUAACACACAUACCAGAAAAACUUAUGGCCCCCCAACGUUACCCUAACACCAGAACAUUACAGGAAAGAUUAAAAGAAAGAGAAGGAACUCGGCAAACUUUAGCCCCGCCUGUUUACCAAAAACAUCGCCUCCUGAUUAAAUAUAAGAGGUCCAGCCUGCCCAGUGAUAAUAUUUAACGGCCGCGGUAUACUGACCGUGCGAAGGUAGCAUAAUCACUUGUUCUUUAAAUAGGGACUCGUAUCAACGGCAUCACGAGGGCUAUACUGUCUCCCCUCUCCAAUCAGUGAAACUGAUCCCCCCCGUGAAGAAGCGGGGAUUUGACUAUAAGACGAGAAGACCCCAUGGAGCUUUAAACUCAACAUGUACCUGUAUAACUAUUUAUCAAUUUAACCUCAAGGCCUGCUAGUUAGCUUUCGGCUGGGGGGGCCACGGAGUAAAAUCAAACCUCCACAACAAACGGGCAAAUACCCUUAUCUACGACUGACAAAUCCAAGAAUCACCAAAGUGAUGUUUAAUGAUCCGACAACUCGAUUAAUGAACCAAGUUACCCUGGGGAUAACAGCGCAAUCCGCUUCAAGAGCCCAUAUCGACAAGCGGGUUUACGACCUCGAUGUUGGAUCAGGGUAUCCUAGUGGUGCAACCGCUACUAAUGGUUCGUUUGUUCAACGAUUAAAACCCUA
rnacentral:rRNA from 1 species